rnacentral:rRNA from 1 species
GUGCCAGCAGCCGCGGUAAGACGAAGGAUGCAAGCGUUAUCCGGAUUUAUUGGGUUUAAAGGGAGCGUAGGUGGCCUUAUAAGUCAGUGGUGAAAGACUAGAGCUUAACUCUGGAAUUGCCAUUGAUACUGUAGGGCUUGAGUAUAGUUGCUGUGGGCGGAAUAUGACAUGUAGUGGUGAAAUACUUAGAGAUGUCAUAGAACACCGAUUGCGAAGGCAGCUCACAAAACUAUAACUGACACUGAGGCUCGAAAGUGCGGGGAUCAAACAGGAUUAGAUACCCUGGUAGUCCGCACUGUAAACGAUGAUUACUCGUUGCUGGAAAGCAAUUUUCAGUGACUAAGCGAAAGCGAUAAGUAAUCCACCUGGGGAGUACGCCGGCAACGGUGAA